CUGAGGACUUAAAUACAGGCUGGGUGAUGAAUGUUUAGAAACCGCACUUCCAGGAGGAUGGAGGUCUUUCUCUUUGAAAGGUUUAUGGACCAGACUGCAGGAGUGGACUGGAAAACUGACUGUAAUGAUGGAAGGACACUCAAGCCUGUUUUAGUCUCAUAAGAGUACAGGUCCAUGAGGAAAUCACACCAUUUGCCUUUGAGAGGAAAUCCUUUAUAUCUGCACACUGAUGAUAACAGCUCCAGUAUCUUCUCUCCUGUCCUCUGUUCUCUCUCUGCUGCUGCACGGAACAGAUUCCCAAAGAACCUGACUGCUUCAUCUAACUUCCAUGGAAUAACUCUGGAACAAUAAGAAGAAAACAUUUAGUUAUGGGUUGAUCUGAGCUACAUAAAUACAACCACACACUCCAUCUUGUCCAUGUGUAAAUGUUCUCAUGAGUGCGACUGAUGUGUAAAGUGUUCAAAAUAUCCGUUAGAUAACUGGUUAUCCAUGAUCUCAAGUCGGAGAAUGUGGAUGUGGUGAAGAUGGGGACAAUUCUUUUUUUUCUUUUUUUUUGGCGGGGGGCAAAGAAUUUUCAGGGGAUGAAGUCCUGGGUAAGAGACCAUACAAACAGCAAUUCGGAAAACCCCUGUGAGUAGAAGAUUUAACGAAUAGUUCAUCCCGCGGAAAGGAAAGUGCCUGGUGGCCUGGCCUUAGACCAGGCACAGCCCAAAGAAGGGACAUUGCCCCCCCCCCCCCCCCCCCCCUUCCUGUAGGCCCACCACCUGCAGGAGUCACCGUAAGGGUCAGGUGAAUGGUAAAAAUGGUAAAUGGCCUGCAUUUGUAUAGCGCUUUUCUAGUCCCUAAGGACCCCAAAGCGCUUCACACUACAUUCAGUCAUUCACACACUGGUGAAGUGCAUACUGGGUGAUGGCCAGGGGUAGAGACAGA
ensembl:lncRNA